rnacentral:rRNA from 1 species
GUCGAACGGUAGAGGGGGCAACCCCUCGAGAGUGGCGAACGGGUGAGUAAUAUAUCGGAACGUGCCCAGUCGUGGGGGAUAACGUAGCGAAAGUUACGCUAAUACCGCAUACGAUCUACGGAUGAAAGCGGGGGAUCGCAAGACCUCGCGCGAUUGGAGCGGCCGAUAUCAGAUUAGGUAGUUGGUGAGGUAAAGGCUCACCAAGCCAACGAUCUGUAGCUGGUCUGAGAGGACGACCAGCCACACUGGAACUGAGACACGGUCCAGACUCCUACGGGAGGCAGCAGUGGGGAAUUUUGGACAAUGGACGCAAGUCUGAUCCAGCCAUUCCGCGUGCAGGAUGAAGGCCCACGGGUUGUAAACUGCUUUUGUACGGAACGAAAAGGUCUCUCUUAAUACGGGGGGCUCAUGACGGUACCGUAAGAAUAAGCACCGGCUAACUACGUGCCAGCAGCCGCGGUAAUACGUAGGGUGCAAGCGUUAAUCGGAAUUACUGGGCGUAAAGCGUGCGCAGGCGGUUAUAUAAGACAGAUGUGAAAUCCCCGGGCUCAACCUGGGAACUGCAUUUGUGACUGUAUAGCUAGAGUACGGUAGAGGGGGAUGGAAUUCCGCGUGUAGCAGUGAAAUGCGUAGAUAUGCGGAGGAACACCGAUGGCGAAGGCAAUCCCCUGGACCUGUACUGACGCUCAUGCACGAAAGCGUGGGGAGCAAACAGGAUUAGAUACCCUGGUAGUCCACGCCCUAAACGAU